rnacentral:lncRNA from 1 species
UUUCUAACAGAAGAAUCGGUAAAAGCCUACCAGCAAUCCUCUCCCGCCCACAAUUUAUUCAUUCCCUUACAAAGUACAAUGACUAUUUUACCCCUAUCAACUAACUGAAGCUGAGUUGGCAUCCUUCCCGUUGGAUAUAACUGUUCCCUUCUUCUUCCUUGCAUAAGUGAAUCUUAUGGUUGAUCUAUCAGUACCCGCUGCCCCAAAAUCCACCUUGUCCUCAAGGUGGAAGGUAAGGAACUACACCCGAAUUGUCUCAAAAGGUUCCCAAGUACCUAUUUUACCCCUAUCAACUAACUAAAGCUGAGUUGGCAUCCUUCCCGUUGGAUAUAACUGUUCCCUUCUUCUUCCUUGCAUAAGUGAAUCUUAUGGUUGAUCUAUCAGUACCCGCUGCCCCAAAAUCCACCUUGUCCUCAAGGUGGAAGGUAAGGAACUACACCCGAAUUGUCUCAAAAGGUUCCCAAGUACCCUCGUAGCCUGGAAGAUUCUUCCACUUGAUCAAAUGUCCAGACUUGCAGUAGUGUGGCCAGCAUUAGGGCGAACUCCCAAAACUAUUUCUAGCUCCAAGAUGAAUUCCCCUGUAGCCGAGAGUUGUGGAGGGAAGGCGGAAAUGGGCUUAACACUACCAAUGGCCUUAUGUAACUGGGAUAGAUGGAACACGGAAUGAAUAGCUGAUGAGGUAGGGAGUUUAAGCUUGUAUGUUACCCUUCCCACUUUCGAUUCAAUCUCAAAGGGGCCAUAGUAACGGGGGGACAACUUCUCAUUUAGGCGCUUAGCCAAGGAUUUCUGACGAUAAGGCCGAAGUUUGAGGUAAACUAGUUCCCAAACUUCAAACUGGACAUCACGACGGUGCUUGUCAGCCUCCUGUUUCAUGCGCUGCUGUGCUUUAAAAAGGUGCACCUUCAACUCAGUCAACAUUUCACCUCGUUCCAACAAAAGUUGUUCCACAGAAGAACAAGGUGUCAGUCUUCUUUCAAGAGGCAAUAGGUGGGGAGGAUCACGGCCAUAUACUAUUUGAAAGGGAGAAUGUCUCAUUGCAGUAUGGAAGGAAGUGCUAUACCAGUACUCCGCCCAAUGCAAGAACUAAUUCCAAACUUGAGGCCUAUUUGAAGCAAAACACCCCAAGUAUGUCUCCAAGCAUCUGUUCAAGACUUCCGUUUGCCCAUCCGUUUGUGGAUGGUAGGCUGUGCUGUGAGCCAGGGGAGUCCCCUGUGCUUUAAAUAAUUCCGUCCAGAAUGUACUUAUAAAGAUCCGAUCUCUAUCCGAUACGAUAGAGCGAGGAAAGCCAUGCAAACGAACUAUCUCUUGACUGAAUUCCUCAGCAACUUAGGGGGCAGUGAAAGGGUGCUUUAACCCGAUGAAAUGACUAUGCUUACUUAGACGAUCCACUACAACCAGAAUGGUGUCAACUUCCCUCGAUCGUGGCAGUCCUUCGUUGAAAUCCAUGGAGAUAUCCUCCCAAAUGGAGUCGGGAAUCGGUAGAGGAAGCAAUAGCCCCCCAGGAGAUAAAGCCAUAUAUUUAUUCUGCCGACAUACCCCACAACUUGCCACAUAGUCCUUUACUCUCUUCUUCAUCCCUUGCCGAUAGACCUCUCUCGCAAUCCUCUUAUAUGUCUUAAGAAAUUCGGAGUGUCCUCCAAUCUUAGAGUCAUGGCAUUCUUGUAACUUAAGAGUGACAAAAUUGGAAUGGCUGGGAAGAACAACCCUCCCCUUGUAACAUAAUAUGCUGUUGAUCAAGUCAUAACCAUCUUAAACAAUGUUCCCAUUCUGCAGUUCAGAAACUAGUUUCCCUAGGAUACUAUCAGCAGCAACUUCCUUCUUGAUGUCUUCUAAUUGUAGCACUUUAAAAUGGUCAGAGCCAACAGAUUCAAAGCUGGCUGAAUUCUGGAAAGAGAAUCUGCAGCUUUAUUCUCUAACCCCAGCCGAUAUUCUAUGUUAAAGUUGUAGCCCAUGAUUUUAGUUAACCACUUUUGAUGCUCCUCGCUUACCAAACGCUAUUCCAACAAGAACGUCAAGCUUUGUUGGUCUGUUCGUACCACGAAGUGUCUGCCCAGUAAGUAAUGGCGGCAUUUUGUAUGGCGAACACGACGGCCAUCAAUUCUCUCUCAUAAACUAACCUUAGCCUGGUGCUCUAGGGAAGUACCUUGCUGAAAUAUGCAAUGGGGUGGCUAUUCUGCAUCAACACUGCCCCUAACCCAUGACCUGAAGUGUUUGUCUCAAUCACAAACUCCUGGGAGAAAUCCGAAAGUGCCAGAACAGGAAUACAGACCAUGGCUGAUUUUAAAUUCUGAAAAGCCUCCUCCGCUUUGUCAUCCCAUAAGAACUUGUCUUUCUUCAGUAGUUCAGUAAGGGGCCAUGCACUCUUGGCAUACCCUGAAACAAAGCAUCUAUAAUAGCCGGUGAGCCCCAAAAAUCCUCGAAGCUCCUUGAGAUUGCGUGGACUCGGCCAAUUAUACAUUGCCUCCAAUUUAGUCUAAUCUGCAGAAACACCGUUCUCAGAAAUAACAUGGCCCGGGUACUCAAUUUCCCGUUGACUGAACAAGCAUUUCUUCUCAUUGGCAUACAGCUGAUGUUCUUGCAAAAUCCCCAGUACUGUCCCCAAAUGUCGUUGAUGCUCUUCCAUCGACUGACUGUAAACCAAGAUGUCAUUGAAAAAGACUAGUACGAACUUCCGUAGAUAUGGUUUAAACACCUCAUUCAUCAAAUACUGAAAGGUUGUUAGUGCGUUUGUCAGCCCGAAGGGCAUUACCAAGAAUUCAUAAUGUCCUUCAUGAGUACGGAAGGCGGUAUUUGGUAUGUCCUCCAGCCGAACCCGAAUUUGGUGAUACCCUGAUUUCAAAUCUAACUUGGAGAAUGUCUGAGCUCCAUGUAAUUCGUCCAACAACUCAUCAAUAACUUGGAUCGAAAAACGAUCGGGUACAAUCACUUUGUUAAGAGCCCAGUAGUCUACACAAAACCUCCAACUACCGUCCUUUUUCUUCACCAAAAGGACAGGACUAGAAUAGGGACUGAAACUGGGCUGAAUAAUUCUUGCUGUCAACAUGUCUCUGACUAGCCUCUCUAUCUCAUUCUUUUGAACAUACGGAUAUCGGUAUGGCCUGACAUUUACUUGCCUUGCCCCAGGCUGUAGAAUGAUCACAUGAUCCCUCAAUCGUGGAGGAGGAAGUUCAUUAUGCCAUUCAAACACGCUCUUAUAUUUCCGCAGUAGUUCCCUAAUUGGGCUGGGAACCUCAGCUGUCUUCUCCGCAGCCUCUACUCUCAGACUUCCUAAUUCCAACAAGAUGCCCUGUUCUCCUACCUUGAAAGUUUUCACCAUCGAUUUUAAGGACACUUGCGUUUUAUCUAAAGUCGGGUCCCCCUGCAGUACAAUAGUUUCCCCUCCAGCCUUAAAACGCAUUGUUAGGGCUCCCCAGUUCACUUGCAUUUUCCCCAGAGUCUCCAACCAUUUCAUCCCUAGGAUUACAUCUGUAGAGCCAAGUUUUAGUGGUAAAAUUUUUUCGACUACCUCGAUUCCUAGCAGAGAAACCACCACCCCUUUACAAACUCCCUCGCCUUUAACAAAUAAUACAAUCCCCAGUUGGAUACCGAAACUGGCCGAACCUAUCAUUCUCAACCCAAGCUUCCGAACAAGUUCUUCGAAAAUGAAAUUAUGGGUAGAAAAAAUUUUGGUUUACGACUAUAGAUUUGCUUAUUCACCAUGUUCCUGGUUUGGUGCAUCCUAUUCUGGCUGCCAUGUGACUUUCCAUGUCCUGCAACAAUGGUGUUCUUAUUGGAUUGGAGAAAUAUUAGUUCUCUAUUUGUUUUCAACAGGAAUGAAAAGUUGAUAUUGGAUGUGUGGUGCGUUUGAUUUUUCAGCAUGCUGAUUUUAUUAGUGACUGUAGGAUAGUAGACCCACCCACUGGAGUAAGUGUCUUUACUAAGCUCAUGGAGACUCAUCUAUCUCCAAGCAUAGUUCAAUGACUUGCAUUUCUAAUUGAUUUGUCUUCUGGAUGGAACCUAGUGUAUCUUAGUUUGAUUAUUUAUUAAAGGUAAUGACUCUGAAGAAAAAAUUUGGGUUUCCCAGUGCUUUUCACGCUCUUCAAGAUGAGCAAUCCUCUGGAUUCUAUACUUCUAAAAUUGAUCGCAGAAAAAAAAAUCAUAUGCUAAAUGUUUUAAUCCAUGAUCAGAACCUUUUUUGUUUUAGAACCAGAGAAGAAAAUUCUUUAAAGAGUUUUGUACAGAAUAUUCACGUGCUUUAUUUCGUGAGGUAUAGGCAUUGAUUUUGUAUUCUAUUCCAUAGGUUGACAUUUUUCUCCCACCUGAUGAUGCACCAACCUUCUCAAUCUCUUCUUGACCAAAAUUUUGUGUUACUGGUUGGGAUUACAAAUUUGUUAUGGCAUAUCAAAAUGAUAUCUCUGACUAAUUUUCUCUUUCUGUCUCUGCUUUGCAGGUUGUUGAUUGUCGAGUUUGUGGCGAUCCACACUCCCGUCAUCGCUUUGCUUUUGUAGAAUUUGCUGAUGAGUGUAAGUCAGGUUUUUUCCUUUUUUUCUUCUAGCAUUGCCAACUUUUCUAACUUUCUCCAUGUGGAUUUAACAUUUACAGAUUCUGCUAGAGCAGCUCUUAGCCUUUGUGGGACACUGUUGGGUUUCUCUCCUGUUAAAGUCUUGCCUUCAAAAACUGCCAUUCUUCCUGUGAAUCCUACAUUCCUUCCCAGGGUAUGAGCCUCGUAGCCUGGAAGAUUCUUCCACUUGAUCAAAUGUCCAGACUUGCAGCAGUGUGGCCAGCAUUAGGGCGAACUCCCAAAAUUAUUUCUGGCUCCAAGAUGAAUUCCCCUGUAGCCGAGAGUUGUGGAGGAAAGGCAGAAAUGGGCUUAACACUACUAAUGGCCUUACGUAACUGGGAUAGAUGGAACACGGAAUGAAUAGCUGAUGAGGCAGGGAGUUUAAGCUUGUAUGUUACCCUUCCCACUUUCGAUUCAAUCUUAAAGGGGCCAUAGUAACGGGGGGACAACUUCUCAUUUAGGCGCUUAGCCAAGGAUUUCUGACGAUAAGGCCGAAGUUUGAGGUAAACUAGUUCCCAAACUUCAAACUGGACAUCACGACGGUGCUUGUCAGCCUCCUGUUUCAUGCGCUGCUGUGCUUUAAAAAGGUGCACCUUCAACUCAGUCAACAUUUCAUCUCGUUCCAACAAAAGUUAAGUGUUAUACCAGUACUCCGCCUAAUGCAAGAGCUAAUUCCAAACUUGAGGCCUAUUUGAAGCAAAACACCCCAAGUAUGUCUCCAAGCAUCUGUUCAAGACUUCCGUUUGCCCAUCCGUUUGUGGAUGGUAGGCUGUGCUGUGAGCCAGGGGAGUCCCCUGAGCUUUAAAUAAUUCCGUCCAGAAUGUACUUAUAAAGAUCCGAUCUCUAUCCGAUACGAUAGAGCGAGGAAAGCCAUGCAAACGAACUAUCUCUUGACUGAAUUCCUCAGCAACUUAGGGGGCAGUGAAAGGGUGCUUUAACCCGAUGAAAUGGCUCUGCUUACUUAGACGAUCCACUACAACCAGAAUGAUGUCAACUUCCCUCGAUCGUGGCUGUCCUUCGUUGAAAUCCAUGGAGAUAUCCUCCCAAAUGGAGUCGGGAAUCGGUAGAGGAAGCAAUAGCCCCCCAGGAGAUAAAGCCAUAUAUUUAUUCUGCCGACAUACCCCACAACCUGCCACAUAGUCCUUUACUCUCUUCUUCAUCCCUUGCCGAUAGACCUCUCUCGCAAUCCUCUUAUAUGUCUUAAGAAAUUCGGAGUGUCCUCCAAUCUUAGAUUCAUGGCAUUCUUGUAACUUAAGGGUGACAAAAUUGGAAUGGCUGGGAAGAACAACCCUCCCCUUGUAACAUAAUAUGCUGUUGAUCAAGUCAUAACCAUCUUAAACAAUGUUCCCAUUCUGCAGUUCAGAAACUAGUUUCCCUAGGAUACUAUCAGCAGCAACUUCCUUCUUGAUGUCUUCUAAUUGUAGCACUUUAAAAUGGUCAGAGCCAACAGAUUCAAAGCUGGCUGAAUUCUGGAAAGAGAAUCUGCAGCUUUAUUCUCUAACCCCAGCCGAUAUUCUAUGUUAAAGUUGUAGCCCAUGAUUUUAGUUAACCACUUUUGAUGCUCCUCGCUUACCAAACGCUAUUCCAACAAGAACGUCAAGCUUUGUUGGUCUGUUCGUACCACGAAGUGUCUGCCCAGUAAGUAAUGGCGGCAUUUUGUAUGGCGAACACGACGGCCAUCAAUUCUCUCUCAUAAACUAACCUUAGCCUGGUGCUCUAGGGAAGUACCUUGCUGAAAUAUGCAAUGGGGUGGCUAUUCUGCAUCAACACUGCCCCUAACCCAUGACCUGAAGUGUUUGUCUCAAUCACAAACUCCUGGGAGAAAUCCGAAAGUGCCAGAACAGGAAUACAGACCAUGGCUGAUUUUAAAUUCUGAAAAGCCUCCUCCGCUUUGUCAUCCCAUAAGAACUUGUCUUUCUUCAGUAGUUCAGUAAGGGGCCAUGCACUCUUGGCAUACCCUGAAACAAAGCAUCUAUAAUAGCCGGUGAGCCCCAAAAAUCCUCGAAGCUCCUUGAGAUUGCGUGGACUCGGCCAAUUAUACAUUGCCUCCAAUUUAGUCUAAUCUGCAGAAACACCGUUCUCAGAAAUAACAUGGCCCGGGUACUCAAUUUCCCGUUGACUGAACAAGCAUUUCUUCUCAUUGGCAUACAGCUGAUGUUCUUGCAAAAUCCCCAGUACUGUCCCCAAAUGUCGUUGAUGCUCUUCCAUCGACUGACUGUAAACCAAGAUGUCAUUGAAAAAGACUAGUACGAACUUCCGUAGAUAUGGUUUAAACACCUCAUUCAUCAAAUACUGAAAGGUCAUCGGUGCGUUUUUCAGCUCGAAGGGCAUGACCAAGAAUUCAUAAUGCCCUUCAUGAGUACGGAAGGCGGUCUUUGGUAUGUCCUCUGGCCAAACCCGAAUUUGGUGAUACCCUAAUUUCAAAUCUAACUUGGAGAAUGCCUGAGCUCCAUGUAAUUCGUCCAACAACUCAUCAAUAACUUGGAUCGAAAAACGAUCGGGUACAAUCACUUUGUUAAGAGCCCAGUAGUCUACACAAAACCUCCAACUACCGUCCUUUUUCUUCACCAAAAGGACAGGACUAGAAUAGGGACUGAAACUGGGCUGAAUAAUUCUUGCUGUCAACAUGUCUCUGACUAGCCUCUCUAUCUCAUUCUUUUGAACAUACGGAUAUCGGUAUGGCCUGACAUUUACUUGCCUUGCCCCAGGCUGUAGAAUGAUCACUUGAUCCCUCAAUCGUGGAGGAGGAAGUUCAUUAUGCCAUUCAAACACGCUCUUAUAUUUCCGCAGUAGUUCCCUAAUUGGGCUGGGAACCUCAGCUGUCUUCUCCGCAGUCUCUACUCUCAGACUUCCUAAUUCCAGCAAGAUGCCCUGUUCUCCUACCUUGAAAGUUUUCACCAUCGAUUUUAAGGACACUUGCGUUUUAUCUAAAGUCGGGUCCCCCUGCAGUACAAUAGUUUCCCCUCCAGCCUUAAAACGCAUUGUUAGGGCUCCCCAGUUCACUUGCAUUUUCCCCAGAGUCUCCAACCAUUUCAUCCCUAGGAUUACAUCUGUAGAGCCAAGUUUUAGUGGUAAAAUUUUUUCGACUACCUCGAUUCCUAGCAGAGAAACCACCACCCCUUUACAAACUCCCUCGCCUUUAACAAAUAAUACAAUCCCCAGUUGGAUACCGAAACUGGCCGAACCUAUCAUUCUCAACCCAAGCUUCCGAACAAGUUCUUCGGAAAUGAAAUUAUGUGUAGCUCCACAGUCAAUCACGACAACAAGAAGCUGCCCUAAAUUACCCCCAUAAGCUUCAUCGUCUUGGGAGCGGUAAGACCCACCACAGAUUUAAUAGACGAUUCUACCUUGUCCCGAAUUUCCUCCUCUUCCAUCCCGUUAACCUCCUCCCCCAAUUCCUCACUGUCUUCUUCCUGCACCACUAAGAUCUACAGUUCCAUGUUUCUACAUCAAGGUCUCGGGCUAUACCUCUCAUCGCAACGAUAACACAGCCCCUUUUCUCUCUUCGACCGUAAUUCCGCAUCACUGAGUUGCUUGAAAGGGGACCCACCCUUUGCUGCCAUUGACGAGCGCUGCGUAAUGGGCACAGUCGCCUUGGGAGGUACCGUAAGGGCUUGCUGUGCUCGUGCUAUGGACUGGGUCGAUUGAAUUGGGGAUAAAUUCCGGUUAAUUGGGCUGAUUGGUGAUGGGCUACUAUAAUUUUUAGCUUUAAACGGGCCUCUCCAUAACUGGGCUCACCUUAAGGACUCGUUAUGAUCCUCAACCCGUUGGGCCAUUUCCGUGAUUUGGCCCAGUCCUUUCGGCCUGAUCAUUCUCACUUCAGCUCUUAUGGCCGGUUUCAACCCACUGAUGAAAUUUCCUUCCAGCACAGCUUCUGGAAUCUCCAGCAGAGGUGCAGCGAGGAUCUCAAACAUUUAACGGUAUUCUCUCACCGUCCCUUCUUGCUUCAACGCCAGGAGCUUUUCCAGAAUUGAUCCUUCCUGUGAUGGCCGGAAUCUGUUGAGUAGUAAGAGCUUCAAAUCUCCCCAACUUCUCAACGGCUACUGGCUGACCUCCCAUUGAUACCAGGCUAGAGCCUCACCUUCAAAACAGACGGCAGUGGCCUCAAUCUUCUCCCAAUCGAUAAACUGAUUCAUGCUGAAUUAUCGCUCCGCACGAAAAAUCUAACCAUCCGGGUCAUUGCCGUUGAUGAUAGGCAAUUCCAGACGGCGUCCUCGAUUGUCCAUUUUCCCAAUUUCCUCAUGGCGCAGGAGGUUCCCAGUGUUCUCCCCCAUUUCAUUAACCUGUUGCAGCUCAUCGGAAUUUGUCGGGAACACCGGUGGAUUGGACGAAACUCCCUUCUCCUUUCUAUCCCUCUCCUGUACAUCCCAUUUCUUCAUCACCAUAUCAAACUUCUCCAUUAAUCCAGCCAUGUCUCGCUGUAUCUCAAAUUUCAUUGUACCCAUCCCAUCUUGCAACUCAUCGAACCUUGUUUCCAACAAUGCCACACGGUCUGUAAGCAUCAUUCCCGCUCUGAUACCAGAAUGGUAAGUCCCCUGAUCCUCUGACUCCAGGUGUGGCUCCUUCACUGGGAAUUCUGCAAUAAAUCAACUAAGAACCUGGAAGAAUAGAACAGUAUAUGAAAUUCAAUUGAUGGAAAAUAAGAGACAAAUUCCAAGGCUAUUAGAGAGGCCUGGUCUCUCCCCCCUUUUCUAACAGAAGAAUCAGUAAAAGCCUACCUACAAUCCUCUCCCACCCACAAUUUAUUCAUUCCCUUACAAAGCACAAUGACUAUUUUACCCCUAUCAACUAACUAAAGCUAAGUUGGCAUCCUUCACGUUGGAUAUAACUGCUCCCUUCUUCUUCCUUGCAUAAGUGAAUCUUAUGGGUGAUCUAUCAGGCACCUAUACUGUGAUCUGUUUGAACCCAUAAGCUGUUCACUACUACUCUUUCCCUUUCUUUUUCUUUUUCUUUUCUACCUUUUCCUCAGUAUCCCGUUUUAAAUACCAUCAUUCUACAUAUAUCUUUUAUUUAAACUUGUAAGAUACAUGUAGUCUUGAUUAUUUCAAUUUUGUUAUCUACCCUCGUAGCCUGGAAGAUUCUUCCACUUGAUCAAAUGUCCAGACUUGCAGUAGUGUGGCCAGCAUUAGGGCGAACUCCCAAAACUAUUUCUAGCUCCAAGAUGAAUUCCCCUGUAGCCGAGAGUUGUGGAGGGAAGGCGGAAAUGGGCUUAACACUACCAAUGGCCUUAUGUAACUGGGAUAGAUGGAACACGGAAUGAAUAGCUGAUGAGGUAGGGAGUUUAAGCUUGUAUGUUACCCUUCCCACUUUCGAUUCAAUCUCAAAGGGGCCAUAGUAACGGGGGGACAACUUCUCAUUUAGGCGCUUAGCCAAGGAUUUCUGACGAUAAGGCCGAAGUUUGAGGUAAACUAGUUCCCCAACUUCAAACUGGACAUCAAGACGGUGCUUGUCAGCCUCCUGUUUCAUGCGCUGCUAUGCUUUAAAAAGGUGCACCUUCAACUCAGUCAACAUUUCACCUCGUUCCAACAAAAGUUGUUCCACAGAAGAACAAGG